UUCACAUUUUCACAGCAGCAAAAUAAUUUUACUUUUUCCCCCAAAUUCGAUUUUCGCCUUUUUUUGCCCUAACACUAGUCUGAUUCUCCCAAAAUUAACUGAUAAAAUUGUCUAAUCUUGCUUGUAUAUCACAACCCAAGUGUUCGUGCCUUCUAAGAAGAAGGACUGGUGGUGUUGGAUCGACGGAAAAAUGCUAGCCCAAAGCAUUUGAACGAUCCUGGGAAAUUGGACUAUGAGCGAUGAGGUACACGCUUAAUUUCCACAAACGUCGAGACCUCCCUGUUCAUUGGUUGUUUCCAUGGUUCACCAUCAAUCUGCAUAUAUGCCUCCGUCCAUUCUCCUCCUCUCAGCUCAAACCGGAUUGCUGAAGCCUGCAGUAAAUAGAUUAUUCGACAGACAUUGGCCAGUAAAGAUAAUAACUUCAAUAAACAGAAAUGAUAUUUCAUUUGAUAAAAUCUGGAGUUCAUAUGAAGCUGCAGCAUGAAUUCAAGAUGCAAGAGUAGAGCAAAGGCUUUCAACGUAUCAAGAGGAAAGAACAAGUUUCUUGGGAGAUGGUCUAUGAAUAAUUAUUCUUUUGAUGUUUAUCAUAUGUUUGAUGCUAGAUGAUCAUGAUUAUUUAAACAGCCGUUUUGUGAAGCUAUAUAAUAUGGUUUUGUUUAA